AGGCGAGGCCGAAAGGCGUAGUCGAUGGGAAACAGGUUAAUAUUCCUGUACUUGGUGUUACUGCGAAGGGGGGACGGAGAAGGCUAUGUUGGCCGGGCGACGGUUGUCCCGGUUUAAGCGUGUAGGCUGGUUUUCCAGGCAAAUCCGGAAAACCAAGGCUGAGGCGUGAUGACGAGGCACUACGGUGCUGAAGCGACAAAUGCCCUGCUUCCAGGAAAAGCCUCUAAGCAUCAGGUAACAUCAAAUCGUACCCCAAACCGACACAGGUGGUCAGGUAGAGAAUACCAAGGCGCUUGAGAGAACUCGGGUGAAGGAACUAGGCAAAAUGGUGCCGUAACUUCGGGAGAAGGCACGCUGAUAUGUAGGUGAAGCGACUUGCUCGUGGAGCUGAAAUCAGUCGAAGAUACCAGCUGGCUGCAACUGUUUAUUAAAAACACAGCACUGUGCAAACACGAAA
rnacentral:rRNA from 1 species